rnacentral:rRNA from 1 species
GACGAACGCUGGCGGCGUGCCUAACACAUGCAAGUCAACUUGAGGGAAGGAGCAAUCUGACCUGAUGGUGGCGCAAGGGUGCAUAACGCGUAAGUAACUUGCCCAAGGUAAGGAAUAACGUCGAGAAAUCGGCGCUAAUACCUCAUAAUGCAGCGGAUCCGCAUGGAUAAUGUUGUUAAAGGUUUAACCGCCUUGGGAUAGGCUUGCGUCUGAUUAGCUAGUUGGUGUGGUAAUGGCACACCAAAGGCUACGAUCAGUAACUGGUCUGAGAGGAUGAUCAGUCACACUGGAACUGAGACACGGUCCAGACUCCUAACGGGAGGCAGCAGUGAGGAAUAUUGGGCAAUGCACGAAAGUGU